rnacentral:lncRNA from 1 species
UUACACUGUGUGUGUCCCUCGCAUUCUCCAUCUCUGUCUGUGUCUCUCAUUCUGCCUCUCUCUGUCUUUCUCGGGGCUUCCAUCUCUGGUUCUGCAGCUCCGCAUCCCUCCUUUGAGGACCGCUGUAACUCGGCCCUUCCUGCCACACGCAGGCAUGAAGUUGUCCUCAGGUGCUAGGGUCUCGGAGGCCCCACUGGGCCCUGGGCUCCUGCUGGGCUUUGUCCUCUCUGGUCUCAGCUGUGCCCUGAGCACCUCUGGGUUUUGACUUCACUGGGCCUUUCUCUCA